GACGAACGCUGGCGGCGUGCCUAAUACAUGCAAGUCGAACGCUUUUUCUUUCACCGGAGCUUGCUCCACCGAAAGAAAAGGAGUGGCGAACGGGUGAGUAACACGUGGGUAACCUGCCCAUCAGAAGGGGAUAACACUGGGAAACAGGUGCUAAUACCGUAUAACAGUCGAAACCGCAUGGUUUCGAUUUGAAAGGCGCUUUUGCGUCACUGAUGGAUGGACCCGCGGUGCAUUAGCUAGUUGGUGAGGUAACGGCUCACCAAGGCAACGAUGCAUAGCCGACCUGAGAGGGUGAUCGGCCACAUUGGGACUGAGACACGGCCCAAACUCCUACGGGAGGCAGCAGUAGGGAAUCUUCGGCAAUGGACGAAAGUCUGACCGAGCAACGCCGCGUGAGUGAAGAAGGUUUUCGGAUCGUAAAACUCUGUCGUUAGAGAAGAACAAGGAUGAGAGUAAAAAGUUCAUCCCUUGACGGUAUCUAACCAGAAAGCCACGGCUAACUACGUGCCAGCAGCCGCAGUAA
rnacentral:rRNA from 1 species